AAUUAAGGCAGUCUAAUUGGAAAAACCAAUCUCAUAAUUUUCGAUUCACGAUAUUUAUUUUUCGAAAUUUCAUAUUUGAGUUUAGAGCAUUUGAUGAGGAUCGCAUCACAAUAGUGUUAUACGCAAUGGCCAAUUAUGGGCAAAGAAAUUUGGCUUACAGCCAACAGGAUAUUGAUGCAAGUGACGAAUCAUCAUUUGCAAACAGUUCAGGAUCUUCAGAUGGAGGCCGGAAAAAUGUUUCACAAAAUGGAUAUGAACAGG